rnacentral:tRNA from 1 species
GCCCCGGUGGUGUAGACCGGUCAAGCAUACGACCCUCUCGAGGUCGUGACAUGGGUUCAAAUCCCGUCCGGGGCA